AACGUAGGUGGCGAGCGUUAUCCGGAUUUACUGGGCGUAAAGGGUGUGCAGGCUGCCCCUCAAGUGGUGUAUGAAAGGGCUCGGCUCAACCGGGCUAGGUUAUGCCAGACUGAGGGGCUAGAGAGCGAGAGCGGGACGUGGGAAUUCCGGGUGUAGUGGUGAAAUGCGUAGAGAUCCGGAGGAACCCCAGAGGCGAAGGCGGCGUCCUGGCCUCGCAUCUGACGCUCAGACACGACAGCAUGGGGAGCGAACGGG
rnacentral:rRNA from 1 species